AGGCGGGGGCAGCCCGGCUCCGCGCUAACCCAGUGGGUACGCCGCGCGGGCAGAGCGCUUACACUCACCCAAUGUUGGGGGCUGAGGUGAUAGGCGGAGGCGCGCGGAGGCCACACCAGCCUUGUCUCUGACCCUGGCGGAACUCCAGCCUGGGAGAAGCUCGAAUUGUGGGGGCCGAAGGGAAGCACACCUUGAGGCUACGGGGUUGACUGGGUAGAGAGGUGAGCUCAGGGUUAGAAAAAUGGCUGAACUGAAAAUACUGGAAGCGCUCCUGCCGGGCCUCAGAGACUGGCGGUGGGGGUAGGCUUUAAGACAAAGGUAGUAAAUUAACAUUUAUUUUUGUGCAAACCUGGCCGUAAAGACUGGCUCCUUGUAGUCUUUAUGCUAAAAAUACCACGCUUUCUUCGGACAGCCGGCCUAGGUUUAUCCCUCACCUUCUUAAGGAGAUGGCUGAGAGAAUUCUUGAGAGGGAAGCGUGGAGGACUGCAGGUACAGCCUGUGGUGGAGGUAUUCACACUGCUGGCUGGGCUCUGGGGUCUCAACCCAACUAUCUAAAAAAUGAGGCCCAGGCACACCACGCUGAUCCUUAAACACAUUCAGGUGGAUGUGAUUUGUUCUGCUGAACAGCAAGAAGCUCUGGUCUGUUAAAACUGGGCCAAGAGACUAGUUGCACCACAUUGUAGUAAAAGCAACCAAAAGGUUAAGUCCAAUGUAAGGAGGAGAUCGUGAAAAGCAACUGUUCAGUCCAUUCCCAGUUUUGGGUUGGUUUUGGUUGUUUGUUUUAAAUUAAGGGGGAUGCAGCCUGCCUGUGACACCCCAGGCAGCUCAGAGACCUUGGGGAACCUACCCACCCAUUUGUCCUUGAGCAGAAAGAGAAUGUUUGAUUGAAUGCCUGAUCUGUGCCAGGCCCUCUUUUGAUGCUGGGGAUACAGCAGUAAACAAGACAACUAAGGCCUCUUGCUCUAUAAAGCAGAUUUUUGGUGGAGAAGACAAGUACUUGCAAGUUAAAGUAAAUGCUGGGACAAAAACAAGGGACUGGAAUAGAGAACAAGAGUUACUUUAGGUGACGACAGCAGGGAGAGUGUCUUUUGAGGAGGUGAUGUUGAAAAUGAAGUCAAAAGAAUGAGGAGAUAUCCUUGGGAAGAGCCAGGCAGAGACAUUCCAAGUCAAGAACAGUUUGUGCCUAGGCCUUGAGAAAGAAUUUCCAGGUCUAGCUGGCCACAUGGCUUCCCUGAAUAAAAGCAAGUUUCUAGGACUCCCUCUUUUCUCAACAUGGUCACAUGACUCAGCUCCAGCCAGCAGGAGGUGUCUGCCCAAAUGUCAUUUUAUGAAAGAGGCUCUCCUGUAUGGCCAACCUAUCUACAGAAGUAUACACAUCCCAGCACUCCUGCACUCUUACUGAAUUAUGGGAAGAACCGACUCCUACCCUUAACUAGUUUUGUUGCCAGACUGUUGCCCCAGAAUCAUACCCCUACUCCUGCCUCAAAUGGAAAUCAACUGCCCUUAUCCAAGUUUCAAGUUCAACCACAAAUGAGGAAGCUGCAAAGAGAAAAACAAAACCGGUUAGAACCAGCGAGGCCCAAGAUGGCAGAAAACUUGACUUCCAAUAGACCUUAACCCUAUUACGCUCACUGUAAUAUAUUAGCAUGCUAAAUGACACACCUGCCAGCACCAUGACAGUUGACAGUUGCCAUGAUAAUAGCCAACCGAGCCCACGCAAGGACUGAAAAGGAGUGUUGCCUCAGUUCCAGUUCCAAACCACACUCCUGUUCUUGGAUAAGUCAUGAAUAUUCCUCCUUCCCUUUACUCAGUUCCCUCCCUUUUACCUCGACCCUCCCAGAUAGUUAUGGUGUCUCCACUUGAAUCAGGUUAAGAAGUUGAUUUGCAAACUAAGUCCUGCUUCCACAUUCUGAAAGCAUGUGAUGCUUAGUGAAUGAACAUGACCAGUAAGGUAAGGGUCCUGCUCAGCCAUUGGUCAGCAUUGCAGUGUGCCCUUUCCCUCAAGCAAGCGACUGUUAGUGAAGAUGGUUUUUUGAAACACUAGUGUGCCUACUUUUUUUUUU